UUUGUUUUUGUCUCAGCUCUGCGUUUUUGGGUGAGAUUUAGUAGAUAAUACAACAUGAUAUACGUUUGGCCUAGGUAUAAAAGGUCUUGGGGUGAUUGACGCGAGCAUUUCCCUCUCUGUUUCUCUCUUCGUUGUAAGCUGUCGUCUCCGUAUCUGGAGAUUCUUGGGUGUGUGGCUGAUUUGGGCGAAGAGAAGGAGGGUGAUUUUGGAGGAAACGGGAGAGGAGUUUCUACAUGACUGAAGGGAAUAAGGCUUGAAGCUUUACAAACAUUGCAGCUUGGGAGAAUAGGAGCUCUUGCUUGCUUGAAAGAAAAGAAGUGGAAGGAAUUGGAGACAUCUUUAGAUCAUCGCUGGAUAUAAUUGUUUGUAAUUAGAAAGGAAUCUGUGUGAAGAAUUGAUCAAUUGUGUUUGCUUGAUGUGUCUGCGGUUCAAUCAAUUGUGGUUGUGAUUCCUGCAGUUAGUGCUUCUAAGUAAACAUACUAUUUUAAUAGUGGAGUGUGUCUAGAUGCUACAACAAUAUGGGAAUGUCAUCCACUAGAAACUCAGUUUCUAGAUUGAGAAUAUUUUGCACCGGCCAAGGGAAGGCAGCAUUGAACCAGCAUUAUCAUCCAUGGAGACCUUCAGCAAAGAGAAAACAGACUAAAGUGUCAUGACAUUUUUUGUGUGCAGAGAACUGGAGGCAGCAACUUUUUGGACAAUCUCCAUAGCUGUUCAUUACCAGGCUAACAACCUUUAAGCAUACACAUGCUAACAGACAUCGUCAUCUGUUUUUGACAAGUACAUCAAGCAGUGAUUGUAAUUAAGUUAGCCUGCAACUGUACCUAUUUUUUGCAAGCUGUUCGAGCAGCAAAUGUAACUAUGUUAGCUUUAAACUAUGAAAGCCUAUUUUUUGAACAUUACCGCAACAUCUACAUUAGUGGAGUGUUACUAGAACAUGGUCUACAACUCUACAUCUUCUGU